GAUGAACGCUGGCGGCGUGCCUAAUACAUGCAAGUCGAGCGAACAGACGAGGAGCUUGCUCCUCUGACGUUAGCGGCGGACGGGUGAGUAACACGUGGAUAACCUACCUAUAAGACUGGGAUAACUUCGGGAAACCGGAGCUAAUACCGGAUAAUAUAUUGAACCGCAUGGUUCAAUAGUGAAAGACGGUUUUGCUGUCACUUAUAGAUGGAUCCGCGCCGCAUUAGCUAGUUGGUAAGGUAACGGCUUACCAAGGCAACGAUGCGUAGCCGACCUGAGAGGGUGAUCGGCCACACUGGAACUGAGACACGGUCCAGACUCCUACGGGAGGCAGCAGUAGGGAAUCUUCCGCAAUGGGCGAAAGCCUGACGGAGCAACGCCGCGUGAGUGAUGAGGGUCUUCGGAUCGUAAAACUCUGUUAUUAGGGAAGAACAAAUGUGUAAGUAACUAUGCACGUCUGGACGGUACCUAAUCAGAAAGCCACGGCGAACUACGU
rnacentral:rRNA from 1 species